UGGGGCAUAGUGCAGCGGCAAGUACGCCGGACUUUGACUCCGGAGGCCCAGGUUCGAGUCCUGGUGCCCCGA
rnacentral:tRNA from 1 species